AUGUGUGUAUCUGUGUGUGUGUGUGUAUGUAUCUGACACACAGAUACACACUGUGUGUGAAGGUGUGUAUAUCUGUAUGUCAGAUACAUACACACACACACACACACAGAUA